rnacentral:rRNA from 1 species
UACGGGGGGAGCAAGCGUUGUUCGGAUUUGCUGGGCGUAAAGGGCGCGUAGGCGGUAGCACAAGUCAGUUGUGAAAUCUCCGGGCUUAACUCGGAAAGGUCAACUGAUACUGUGCGACUAGAGUGCAGAAGGGGCAACUGGAAUUCUCGGUGUAGCGGUGAAAUGCGUAGAUAUCGAGAGGAACACCUGCGGCGAAGGCGGGUUGCUGGGCUGACACUGACGCUGAGGCGCGAAAGCCAGGGGAGCGAACGGG